AAUACCCCAAAGUGGAAUUGCUGAAUUGUAUGGUACUUUUUAAUUUUCUGAGGAACCUUCAUACCAUGUUCCAUAAUGACCACACCAAUUUACCACCAACAGUGCCUCACACACCUACCCCAACCACGGCCAGGGAUUGAACCUGUAACCCAGCCCAGGUCUUUUCAGAAGCUUCAUGAAAGAGGCUGUCCUGCACUGAGUCUUCACACAUGGGAUCUUGAGACAUGUGGGGUUUGAUAGGCAGAGAAUGUAGGAAACAGCAAUGCAUCAUCAAGACUAAAAAAUUAAGAACACAAACUCAUAUUCUAUUGGACCAAUUAAAUAUCAGCAAGCUUAAACUGGCAAGUUCCUUUUUUCUAAUUUUUAAAAAUGUGUUUUAU